rnacentral:lncRNA from 1 species
AACGACAAAAACACAAAUCCGUUGGGCUCGGGCGAACGUGUGUUGACUAAAUUGACUCGACAAAAUCCACUUGCCCGACGAAUGAUAUCUUGUCGGCUAGCACAUAAUUAAAUAUUGUAAUGAAUUUGACCCGACGGCCCAGUAGUAAGGCCAACUCUAAGAAACCAAAUUUAAAAUAUAUAUCAAUUUUUUUGUGCGACGAAAGUUUUUUUAAUUAAAAAAUAGGAAAAAUUAGUAUCAUGUCCCUAGUUACUAAUGUUCAUUAACUAAAACUUUAUUAGUUUUUAGAUUUUGAUCCAGGUCCCUAUCAUUAAUGUAAUAAUGAAUUUACAUGUCAAUUACAUAAUUUUUUAAAAUAAAAAUUAAUAAUUGAUUUAGGACUUUAAUACUCACACCUUUAUUAAACUCCUAACUAUUUUUUAAUUCAAAACAUUUCCAAAAUAAAUAAUAAAAAAUUAGAAUAAGUUUGUACGCAUUAGCUUUUUAAAAAAUGUUUUAAAUUUUUUUAAUCGUAUAUGCACCCAUUCAUGUAAUCUUUUUUUCCAAUUUUUAAUCUUAAAAUGUACCCGUUCUUAAAUAUACCAAUUUGUUAUAUAUAAAAUGUACCUUUUUUAUAUAUAAAAUCUAUUCAAUUUUUUUCUAACCAUUUUUAAACUUAUAUGGUUACAUUCCUUUCUUUUGAUUUGAGAAUGUAUCCAUGUCAAGAUUAAAUGUGACAACCCGUCCCAAAUGUUACGAUUUUAUAAAUUUUUAAGGGUUGUUAUUCAUUAAUAUAUUCAUUUCUUAUAGUUAUGGUUAUUUUUUAUUAAUUGAGGGGUUAAAGGAGGAAGGCUGUGGGAUGGCAGCAAAGUGGAGAGGGAGAGGUAGGAGGGAAAGGAUGGAGGGAGAGGGGUAGACUACCCGGGUCCCCCUCAACCCGUUUCUCCUUUGAAACCGAACCCCGGCGAGAAUACAUGAAACCAGGUGCUUUCUCAGGUCAAAUUCCGACGAAUUGCACCGGGCCAAUACCUGGGAACUUCUCCUUGGUCCUUCUUCUUCGAUUUCCUACA